UACGGGGGGAGCAAGCGUUGUUCGGAUUUACUGGGCGUAAAGGGCGCGUAGGCGGUCAGCACAAGUCAGUUGUGAAAUCUCCGAGCUUAACUCGGAAAGGUCAACUGAUACUGUGCGACUAGAGUGCAGAAGGGGCAACUGGAAUUCUCGGUGUAGCGGUGAAAUGCGUAGAUAUCGAGAGGAACACCUGCGGCGAAGGCGGGUUGCUGGGCUGACACUGAUGCUGAGGCGCGAAAGCUAGGGGAGCGAACGGG
rnacentral:rRNA from 1 species